rnacentral:rRNA from 1 species
UAGGGAAUCUUCCACAAUGGACGCAAGUCUGAUGGAGCAACGGCCGCGUGAGUGAAGAAGGUUUUCGGACCGUAAAGCUCUGUUGUUGGUGAAGAAGGAUAGAGGUAGUAACUGGCCUUUAUUUGACGGUAAUCAACCAGAAAGUCACGGCUAACUACGUGCCAGCAGCCGCGGUAAUACGUAGGUGGCAAGCGUUGUCCGGAUUUAUUGGGCGUAAAGCGAGCGCAGGCGGAAGAAUAAGUCUGAUGUGAAAGCCCUCGGCUUAACCGAGGAAUUGCAUCGGAAACUGUUUUUCUUGAGUGCAGAAGAGGAGAGUAGAACUCCAUGUGCAGCGGUGGAAUGCGUAGAUAUAUGGAAGAAUACCAGUGGCGAAGGCGGCUCUCUGGUCUGCAACUGACGCUGAGGCUCGAAAGCAUGGGUAGCGAACAGGAUUAGAUACCC